rnacentral:rRNA from 1 species
CAGCAGCCGCGGUAAUACGAGGGGGGCAAGCGUUGUUCGGAAUUAUUGGGCAUAAAGGGUGCGUAGGCGGCUUGACAAGUCUUGUGUGAAAUCUAUGGGCUCAACCCAUAGUCUGCACGGGAAACUGUCGGGCUUGAGAAUGGGAGAGGUGAGUGGAAUUUCCGGUGUAGCGGUGAAAUGCGUAGAUAUCGGAAGGAACACCUGUGGCGAAAGCGGCUCACUGGACCAUUUCUGACGCUGAUGCACGAAAGCUAGGGGAGCAAACAGGAUUAGAUACCCCCGUAGUCCCUGUCUCUUAUAU